rnacentral:lncRNA from 1 species
GACCGCGGGGAGUCGCCGCCGGCCGCCUCGAUGGCCUUGGCGACGGCGAUGGCCUUGCCGAACGUGCACAGCAGCUGCCCGGCCACGCCCCGGCAGCACUCCGCCGCCGGCCCCCGCCCGAGCAGCUGCUCCUCGUCGCCGGCCGGCGGCAGCUCGCCGAGGAGCCGCCUGACCUGCGCCUCCCCGUCGGCCAGGAUGGUCAGGAGCAGAUGCAUGCUAUUGCCGUCCCCUCCUCCUCCUCCUCCUCCGCCAACGUCCUGCAUGGCCAGCUAGCUCGAUCGCCGGCAAUGGCAGCUGGCUUUCAGCCGGGAAGGAAGCACGAGGAGGAAUGCUAUGCACCAAGGAAGGAUCACGGCCGGCGAGUUGGAGUUCGAGGUCGAAGAAACCGAGGAGAGAAGUAGAGGAGGCGAGAUCUGACGGUAGAUCGACGACGAUGAUGAUGUGGUGGUGGUGGCCACGGGCCGCUGGAUCGCAUAUAUAUGCUUGCUGAGCCGAAUUGCUGAUGCAGUUGCGGCCGGUCAUAAUGUUUGACCCAGGGAAAGGGAGACCGAGUUUUUUCG